rnacentral:rRNA from 1 species
UACGGAGGGGGCAAGCGUUAUCCGGAAUCACUGGGUUUAAAGGGUGCGUAGGCGGCUUGGUAAGUCAGAGGUGAAAGCCCGCAGCUUAACUGCGGAACUGCCUUUGAUACUGCCGAGCUUGAAAGAGGUUGAGGUCAGCGGAACGUGACAUGUAGCGGUGAAAUGCAUAGAUAUGUCACAGAACACCAAUUGCGAAGGCAGCUGGCUUGGCCUACGUUGACGCUGAGGCACGAAAGCGUGGGGAGCGAACAGG